GCCCUCAUGGUCUAGCUGGCUAUGAUACGGGUCUCAUACACUGCGGGGCACCUGCAGCCAUCCCGGGGUCGUGAGUUCGAGCCUCACUGAGGGCA